CAUAAUCCAUAAUAACACUUCCUCCAGUGAAAGGUCUCUCACAGAUGAGUUUAGAUCUGUUUAAACGCUGCUUGAUCUGUGCAGAUUUCUCUCCUGAUUCAGACAGAACACUUUUUCACUGGAGGAAGUGUUAUUAUGGAUUAUAGACUCUAUGUGUUUGAGUUAAAAUCAUCUUAAUGCUGGAUGUGUUUCAGGUUUUGUCUUCUCCAGAUGUUCACUGAUGGACUGGAGUGCUGUGGAUUAUUGGGAUGUUUUUAUCAGACUCUCAUUCUGACGGCACCCAUUCACUGCAGAGCAUCCAUUGAUGAGACACUGAUGCAGUGCUACAUUUCUACAAACCUGAUAAAGACACAAACUCAUCCUGAUCUCAUCCUGUGCUGAGAAUGAAUCAGUCGGCUGUCUCAAAGCGGCUUAACCAGAAUAUUGACUGAAAGAAGCUGUUGAUUGUCUCCAAGACGGACGUGUCUCUUCAUGAAGGAUUUCCCACAGGCAGCGCUACGAAAACACAGAAACACACAAUCACUCACUGAAGCAUGAAGACAAAGCACUGCUCCAUCACAAGUGCUUCUGUAUGUUUGAAGGGGAAAUACACAGCACAGGAAUCAAUGGAUAUCAUUCAACCUAUCUUACAGGAAAACGCUACUAUUUUAAUAAUGAUAAUAAUAAUAAUGCAUUUAUUUUAUUUAGCACCUUUAAAAGUGGGACCUUCUCAAAGUGCUUACAGAAAAACAACAGCAAAUAAAUAAAACCAAUGAAGAACACACAAACGCAAGGAAAAGGUCAAAAACUGAAGGUGUGAUGUAAAAGGGAUUUUACAAGGUGGUGAUUUAGAAUGAAUUCAUACACUGUUAAAUAAAAAUGCAUGGCUUGUAUUUUAUUCUGUUGCUGUUACUGGCUGCAGAGUUUAACACAGUUAAAGUGACUUACAUUUUAGGUUCCUCUGAAAGUAAUGGAGGUCAAAACAUUAAAGUGGAGAUGCUGAGGGAAUGUGAAGCGUGUCUUCAGAGACCAACAAACACUUCCAUCCUGACCUGAUCUGGCAAUAUAACAAUCUGUUAUAGUGUGCUGACAUUCAUUUCUGUGCUGAGCUUUAAAUCUGUAUUAAAGUCUUGCCUCGAGAUCAGGUGUUGAAUGUUAGCGUCAGUGUUGAGAUUAACACUCUGUGUUCAGACAAAGACACCGUGAGUUGAUUAUUUCCUCUUCAUGCCUUCAGUACAGACUUCAGGGGAGUUGAGAUAUUGAGCUGGACGUCAAUCAGAAUGAAACUCCUGAAACACAGACAAACUCUGACAGACACCUGAGCAACUGCCUAGCAACCAGCCAGAGAUAACCUAGCAACCAGCCAGAGAUAACCUAGCAACCAUCUAGACUGUCAGAGCAGCUGCUGAUGGGACUGAUGUAUGAUGGGACAGUGAUGUCAUGUGAAUGGAGAACAGGAGGGGUCCGAGCACUGAUCCCUGAGGAACCCCAGUGACCAGCUGAUGUGUUUUGGAUACCUCCUCUUCCCAGGCCUCGAAUGUUGAGAGAAUUUAAUAUUUUGGAGAGAUUACGUGUGUCUAGAGUGAUGUUGAGCUUGUUGUUGAAGGAUGAAGGUUUGGCAGUAUGGACUUCAGCAGAGAAAGAUGAAAGUAACGUCUGAUAUAUGCUCAGUUCUGACGGAUCUUUCGAUUUGCGCCAUUUUCUCUCUGCUGCCCUGAGUUCGGUCUGAUGCUCAUGAAGAAUAUCAGAUGACCAGGGGUUAGAAGAGGACAGCCAGUGCUACCUGGAAGACAGGGGACAAACAGAGGUUAAAGUAGAGUUAAAAGCGUCUUGCUGCAUUAGCGUCCAGAGAUGAGAAAUGGUUAGAUGAGGGAAGAGAGGAGGAAUCCGUCCAGUGCUACUGAAAGGAUUACAGCAUGUAGAUGUCAGUCAGUCUUCUCUCUGUUAAAGCUUUUCCUUCACUUCUCUCUCCUCUCCAUCACUUCAGAGGAGUCGCUGGCCGCGUGACGCUCUGAUGUUAAUCUCAGAUGACACGCCGCUGUAAUUAGUGCCUCUCUAAUUGGCAGAAUGUGGUCACCUGUGAAGGGAACUGAAUCGAGAAGCUCUUCACAUCUCAGAAACAGAGAACUCAUUUCAUCACGCUGACGUCUAACAGGAUUCUGCAGCUGUGUCAUCUGAUCUGUUAUUGAAUGCAGGAAAUAUGAGGCAAUCAUGUUCAUCAAGCCACAGUCAAGCAGGAAAUCAUUUCAACCGACAUCAUCAUCCACCUGUUAGAGUCAGACCUUCAGAUCUGUUUUUCUGACUCUCCAUUAACCUUCAUCAGAAUCUUCUUCUUCUCUCUCUCAUGUUACUGACACUCAAACUGUCCUUAUUAGAGACUUAAGCUUCUUUCCAUUAAAACUAAUGCCUAAUUAAACAGCCCUGCACAUCCCUCUGAUUAAUUCAAAUGUAAUAAAUUGCCAAAAAGUAA